GUGCUAGUAGCUCAGUUGGUUAGAGCGCCUGGUUGUGGCCCAGGAGGUCGUGGGUUCAAAUCCCAUCUAGCACCCCA
rnacentral:tRNA from 1 species